GACCACAAUUCAAAAAUCAAUUUAAAAUUUUUAAUUCCUGUAGAAAUUGAAAAUUAAAACUUAGAUCCAAUUUGAAAUCGUGAAAAGACAAUGAAAUGUUAACAAAAAAAUUUUAAUUUAUAAAAAUGGUAUUGAAAUCCAAGUUCCAAUUGCAACUGUGAAAAUGCAUUCCGAAACCGAAGUGAAAAUGGAAAAGUUUUCGAAAAACGAUUUGAAUCAUCAACAUUUUAAAACCAAAUUGAAAAUUACAAAAAACCGACUGUAUUUGAGAAAAUCCAAAUGGAAUCGAAGAGAAAAAAAUCAAUUAAAAAUUUAAAAGCAAGUUGACAUGACUUUUCAAUUGCCAAACCCAAAUUCAAACUAAAAUUUAUAAAUUCCUGUUAGGUUAGGUAAGGUUGCAAAAAAGGUAUUAUAAAGCCCCAUGCCACUAUAGACAUACACCCUAGCCAGUAAUCGGCUUGUUGUGCCCUCUAAAUACUUAAAAAAAGUAACCUCGAAAAAAGAAAAUCAAAGUUAGAAAUUCGGUGCUACUUACAAAAUCCCUAGUUGUUUUCCAUGCCAGGCCUUAAGUUGGUUAAUGUCUAGUAUUGUGUCCCAACCUAAGUACAAUGACAGGAAAUGCUCCAACGUCUCACCAUCAUCCACACAGAAAUAAAUUCCUGUUAAAAUUUUAAACUAGAAAAUUUUACUAGAAACGAUUUGAAAUUCGAAAUGGAAAUUAACGUGUACAU